rnacentral:rRNA from 1 species
AUGGACAAGAAGAGACCCAUGGAGCACCAGAGCUGGACCAGGGGAUGGUUGAGAGAGCCAAAAGCCUGGGGGCGCCCCCCUAGGGCGCGCCUCUCGAGCUUGUGGGGCCCUCGGGCACCCCCUUGA